rnacentral:tRNA from 1 species
GGGCCCGUAGCUCAGCACGGUAGACCGUAAGGCCGUUAACCCGGCGGUCGCGGGUUCAAAUCCCGCCGGGCCCGCCA